AACAGCUCAGGUGGCCCAAUUGAUAAAGCGUCAUUCUCGGUUGCUGGAGGUUCUGGGUUCGAAACCCGGCUUUGUCA